rnacentral:rRNA from 1 species
UACGGGGGGUCCAAGCGUUGUUCGGAAUCACUGGGCGUAAAGCGCAGGUAGGUGGCUUUUCAAGUCUGUUGUGAAAGCCCAGGGCCUAACCCUGGAAGUGCAGCAGAUACUGUUAAGCUUGAGUAUGGGAGAGGAUAGUGGAAUUCCUGGUGUAGUGGUGAAAUACGUAGAUAUCAGGAGGAACACCGGUGGCGAAGGCGGCUAUCUGGCCCAAUACUGACGCUGAGCUGCGAAAGCGUGGGGAUCAAACAGG